UUCAGUGCCCUGGUUGUCGAUGAUGGGUCCCAAUUCACAAGAGCCUGCAGAUACCUUUCCAUGGCUUCUAUGGCCUCUGCUCUGCUUUUUCUAGUCUGGGCCUUGGUAGUCUAGUCUGGAGCAUGCUCCGGGGUUAGGCGUGGCUGCCCGCGCUGCAAGAUUGCUGCCACUUCGAUCGUUGAAGCUGAGCUAUAGCAUCUUCAGGAUCGCCUUCACUUAGCAGUUAGCACUGCUGACCCUAGGCAUAACCCUCCUUCAGGUAAAGUUGAGUGCUAAGGUCGGUGAAGACUUCAAUUGAAGCUAUGUUAAAACUACAUAUUGUUUUCCUGAUAUCUCUUGUGAUUGACUGCAGGCUCCUGGGCAGUAGAGUCCCUGAUCUGAGAUCUCCAAGCUUGGCAUAUCUAUCACGAAGCUAAUUUUUGAGUGGACGGUCUCGCUAAGAAGAGCGCCAGUCCAUGGGCAAACCUAGGCUGAUGUUAUUGUAAUCAUUUUUUAUUUUCUAUUAAUGAAGUGCCUAAUCUCACCCAAGAAAAAA